CGACUAAUGUUGAAAAAUUAGCGGAUGACUUGUGGCUGGGGGUGAAAGGCCAAUCAAACCGGGAGAUAGCUGGUUCUCCCCGAAAGCUAUUUAGGUAGCGCCUCGUGAACUCAUCUUCGGGGGGUAGAGCACUGUUUCGGCUAGGGGGGUCAUCCCGACUUACCAACCCGAUGCAAACUACGAAUACCGAAGAAUGUUAUCACGGGAGACACACGGCGGGUGCUAACGUCCGUCGUGAAGAGGGAAACAACCCAGACCGCCAGCUAAGGUCCCAAAGUCAUGGUUAAGUGGGAAACGAUGUGGGAAGGCACAGACAGCCAGGAUGUUGGCUUAGAAGCAGCCAUCAUUUAAAGAAAGCGUAAUAGCUCACUGGUCGAGUCGGCCUGCGCGGAAGAUGUAACGGGGCUAAACCAUGCACCGAAGCUGCGGCAGCGACACUAUGUGUUGUUGGGUAGGG
rnacentral:rRNA from 1 species